rnacentral:rRNA from 1 species
AGAGUUUGAUCCUGGCUCAGGACGAACGCUGGCGGCGUGCUUAACACAUGCAAGUCGAACGGAGAGAGAUGGAAGCUUGCUUCUAUCGAUCUUAGUGGCGAACGGGUGAGUAACGCGUAACCAACCUGCCCUUCAGAGGGGGAUAACAACGGGAAACCGUUGCUAAUACCGCGUACGAAUGAACUUCGGCAUCGAAGCUCAUUGAAAGGUGGCCUCUAUUUAUAAGCUAUCGCUGAAGGAGGGGGUUGCGUCUGAUUAGCUAGUUGGAGGGGUAACGGCCCACCAAGGCAAUGAUCAGUAGCCGGUCUGAGAGGAUGAACGGCCACAUUGGGACUGAGACACGGCCCAAACUCCUACGGGAGGCAGCAGUGGGGAAUCUUCCGCAAUGGACGAAAGUCUGACGGAGCAACGCCGCGUGAGUGAUGACGGCCUUCGGGUUGUAAAGCUCUGUUAAUCGGGACGAAUGGUCUUUGUGUGAAUAAUGCAAAGAUUUGACGGUACCGGAAUAGAAAGCCACGGCUAACUACGUGCCAGCAGCCGCGGUAAUACGUAGGUGGCAAGCGUUGUCCGGAAUUAUUGGGCGUAAAGCGCGCGCAGGCGGUUUCAUAAGUCUGUCUUAAAAGUGCGGGGCUUAACCCCGUGAGGGGAUGGAAACUAUGGAACUGGAGUAUCGGAGAGGAAAGCGGAAUUCCUAGUGUAGCGGUGAAAUGCGUAGAUAUUAGGAAGAACACCAGUGGCGAAGGCGGCUUUCUGGACGACAACUGACGCUGAGGCGCGAAAGCCAGGGGAGCGAACGGGAUUAGAUACCCCGGUAGUCCUGGCCGUAAACGAUGGGUACUAGGU